AAGGAAUAGAGCUGAUAGGAUUCCUGCUCAGAACAGCUAGACUCAUUUAGACGGCUGGGAGUGACUAUGGGCGUGUGACUGGGCCCCAUUGGGAACUAGACUGGCCUGUCAUGUCUAGGCUGGAUGCCCCUCUCUACCCUCUGUCCCUUCUCAUCACCGCUCCACCUCCCAUCACUUCCUAGAUCCCCAGAGGACUGGGUGAGGAGCUCAGGACACUUUCCCACCAGCCUCUUCCCAUAUGGGUGAAGCCCAAGUCCUGGAGCUUCCGGCUUUCCCUUUUGAUUCUGAAGAGCCUUUUCUCCUUUCAACAAAUCCUGCCUCUCUGCAAUGCUGCUGACUUACUAGGGGAAAGGUCAAGUGGAAAAAGUGUAGCAUGGAAAAGCAGGAGGAACGACAUUGCAAGAUUCUUUCUAUUGCAGGAAAAGACAGGUUGAGCCACAGAAGAGAAUUACAGGACCAGAAACAUUCAAACAUUUACUGUUUGAGAAGUUAUCAGAGUACUCAUCUACAAGCAGAUGAACUCUUUCUCCAAAUAAAACUUGAAGUGAAGCCCCAACAUAUGACACAAAAAAGAGUGGAGCUGUCCCCUGGAAGCUGGACAAAGAACCUGGCUGGCUUAUUCCUGUCGUCACUCCAGAGAACUUCAGACUCCGCUCUGGAGACACUGAAGAACGAAGCUUGCAGACCUGUGUUUUACUCCGUAUGCAUGCUGAACUGCUUGCUGGCUGACAGUUUGCAGAAAGAAUAAAGUUAAAUCC
ensembl:lncRNA